rnacentral:miRNA from 2 species
UUCGCAAUUCAUGGAUGUAU